UACGUAGGGUGCAGGCGUUAAUCGGAAUUACUGGGCGUAAAGCGUGCGCAGGCGGUUUGCUAAGACAGGUGUGAAAUCCCCGAGCUUAACUUGGGGAUUGCGGUUGUAACUGGCAAGCUAGAGUGUGGCAGAGGGGGGUGGAAUUCCACGUGUAGCAGUGAAAUGCGUAGAGAUGUGGAGGAAUACCGAUGGCGAAGGCAGCCCCCUGGGAUAGCACUGACGCUCAUGUACGAAAGCGUGGGUAGCAAACAGG
rnacentral:rRNA from 1 species